rnacentral:rRNA from 1 species
UGGGGAAUAUUGCACAAUGGGCGCAAGCCUGAUGCAGCCAUGCCGCGUGUGUGAAGAAGGCCUUCGGGUUGUAAAGCACUUUCAGCGAGGAGGAAGGUGGUGAGCUUAAUACGCUCAUCAAUUGACGUUACUCGCAGAAGAAGCACCGGCUAACUCCGUGCCAGCAGCCGCGGUAAUACGGAGGGUGCAAGCGUUAAUCGAAAUUACUGGGCGUAAAGCGCACGCAGGCGGUUUGUUAAGUCAGAUGUGAAAUCCCCCGGGCUCAACCUGGGAACUGCAUUUGAAACUGGCAAGCUAGAGUCUCGUAGAGGGGGGCUAGAAUUCCAGGUGUAGCGGUGAAAUGCGUAGAGAUCUGGAGGAAUACCGGUGGCGAAGGCGGCCCCCCUGGACGAAGACUGACGCUCAGGUGCGAAAGCGUGGGGCAGCAAACA